CGGAGACGUGCUUGGAACUGUUCGGUUGGGCGUGGCGGAGGCAUCCGGUCCGGUGGCCCGGCUGGAUAGGCCCGGCCUGAUAGGCCCGGCCCUGCUCGGCGCGGCAGAAAGGAGUAUUUCCUACUUCAUUAUGAAAAUUUUUCCCAGUGCGCCAGAGACAUUCCUCUCCUAUCACUGCUGAGCUUAAAAUCCACCAUUCAGAUCUCAAAAAUCUGGAAGAUGCUGUGAAGACAUUGGACAGAUGCCAUGGCAACAGCCUCCAAAGGAAGUAUGUUGGUUUGUCUACCUGCAAGGACAUGCUGACAGAGGAAUUAUUCUUCUCCUUUUGUGGGAUAAAAAUAUUCUUCCUCAUUUACAUGUCUUCAAAACUGUUAGGAAAGAUUUUUUUUUUAAUAUCAUCGUGCCAUUGCCUUUAGUAUUCAGGAGCAUUGGAUACUUCUUAGGUAAGUAAUGGUCAGGGAUAGAGCUGAUCCAGUACAAUCCCAGAGGCUCUUAGCUGUGGUGCUGGUCAUGGGUCACUGCCAAUAGUGUUCUUCAGCUUACUCAAACGCUACACUUGUACUAGCAACUGCUGAAUAGCACCAGCUUAAAUUCAGCACUGGCUAAUUCACCCUUCUGCUUCAAUGUAUAAGAAGUAGUCCAAAUGAUUUAGAAAGUGACACAUUUGGGUUUCAGGACUGUCUUUUCAAUGCAGGAAACAGCAGUCUGUUACCACAGCUUGUGUCACUGUUGUGGGUUGACCCUGGCUGGAUACCAGGUACCCACCAAAGCUACUCUAUCACUCCCCUCCUCAGCUGGAAAGGGGAGAAAGAAUAUAACAAAAGGCACAUGAGUUGAGAUAAGGACAGGGAGAGAUCACUCACCAAAUACCAUCAUGGGCAAAACAGACUUGACUUGGGAAUAUUAAUUGAAUUUAUUACCAAUCAGAAUCAGAGUAGGAUAAUAAGAAGUAAAACAAAUCUUAAAAACACCUUCACCCCACCCCUCCCUCCUUUCUGGGCCUAACUUUUCUCCUGAUUCUCUACCUCCUUCGUCCCAGCAGUGCAGGGAGACAGGGAAUAGGGUUUUUGGUCAGUUCACCACAUGUUUCUGCUGCUGCUUCCUCCUCAGGGAGAGGAGUCCUUCCCCUACUCCAGCAUGGGGUCCCUCCUACAGGAGACAGUCCUCCAUGAACUCCUCCAAAGCAGGUCCUUUCCAAGGGCUUUGUUUUUUCACAUGCAAACCCAAUACAGUCCCAUUGCAGCUUCCACUUUUGGUCCAGCCAGGUCCAGUGAGGGAGUAUUAUAUUUUCUUUUUCGGACCCAGGUCUCAUAAGCUCUCAAAAGAAUAUAUAAUACACCCAAGGAUAGCUCAGCUACUGUUUUGGGGGCAUAAAUUAAGCAGGAUGACUUCUGCUGCAGUGUUAGAAACAAAAAGGUUCCAUAAAAGGCAAAAUAACAAACAGAAAAACCUGAGCCAGGUGCAGAGGUCUGCUCCUGGUAAAAACACCUCACAAAAGCCCCUAGUUCCUUUGUUCUCUUCUUUUUCUACCCAAUUGGCCAGGUGGGACUUUUUGGCUUCUAUCCAAUUGGAUGCCCUUAAGUUUUUGGUGAAGUCCCUGAGGUCCUAUGAGGUGGCUUUUCACCUAAUGGUUGAGAGAAACUUCUGGGCUUUUUCCUUUUUUGGGGGACAAAGUAUAGUUUUGUCACUCUGUCAUCAGGGGGCAUACUCCUACAAGGGAGAAACUCUGUUGUGCCAGCAAAUACUGUGAUCCUGUUAAGCAUUUAGAUCAGGGUUUAUUGAAUACUGUGGAAGGGGGUGCCUUUUUGUAUCCCCUAGCACCAUGUUCUGCCUCCUGUCCUAUCUAGUUGGGGUUAAAAGAUGGAAGCAAAAUGUUACACUGGACAUGUCUAUAAUUUUUUUUCUUACAUGACUCUGGAGUAGAAGUCCCUCUGCCUCAAGUUGACCCUCUCCAAGGCCCAUGGACCAUCCUGACCUCCUUGCUCUACCAUGACAUUUUGAUGGGUGUAAUGGUUUUAAACUCAGCUGGAGAUGAAACACCUUGCAGUCACUCACUCAACCCCCCCCCCCCCCAACAGUGAAAUGGGGAGGAGAAUUGAAACAAAACUUGUAAGUUGGGAUAAGAACAGUUUAAUAAUGGAAAAUAAAGUAAAAUACAGUAAUAAUGGUAAAUAAUAAUAAUAAUGUUGAUAAAAAGGAAACAAUGCAAUUGCUCACCACCCACUGACUGAUGCCAGGCCCACUUUUCUGAACCCAGAUCAAUCACCCAGAUCAAUCACCCUUUCAGGUAACACCCUCCAGUUUAUAUAGUGGGCAUAACAUUAUAUGGUGUGGAAUAUCCCUUUGGUCAGUUUGGGUCACCUGUCCUGGCUGUGCUCCCUCCCAGUUUCUUUUGCAAACCUCACUGUCAGAGCAUGUGACAAAGAAGAAUGUCCUUGACUUAGUAUAAACACAACUUAGCAAAAAACCAAAGCAUUGGUGUGUUAUGAACACCAUUCUCAUUCUGAAUCCAAAACAAGGCACUAUAACAGCUACUGAGAAGAAAUUAACUUUAUCCUGGAUGAAACCAGGACAAUAUCUACCCCUUCUUCCAUACAAUUUAUGUCUGCCAAGUUUCAUAGCCCCCAGUAUGCCAUCACCUUUCCUAUUUAUCUGUUUUGAUAGAUAUACAUAGACAUCAUUCCCUUAGUCUAUUGAAGACCUUUGUCAAAGGUUCAUAAAAUGUCCACAUAUGGCUGGGCUAUUACCCUCAGGGCAGAAGCCCAGCGGGGAAUGCCGGCCGGCCAGGAUAGCUCAGCGGGGGGCUCAGGCAACCCAGGCAAGCUAUAGUGAUUUGCAGCUCAGCUCUUUAGUGAUUUCAGUUCUUUUAGCUCGCCUGGUGCCGUCGGUACCGCCGUCCCAGCAGACGCGGAGAGAGAGGGAGAAGCACUGUAUGGGUUCCGCAGGGUUCUUUUAUUUGGGUCUCCGCGAAGGGUCCAGUGACAGCUCUCCUCUGCAGGUAAGACCGCACUCGAUGACAGGCUUACUCGGUCCCACAACUUGUAUCCACAUUGCUGUGGGGUUGAGAGGAAGCUGUUCCCUGUGAUUCUUAGGGAGUAGAAAGGCUUGUGCAAAUGGGGUACCCUUUGGAAGAAAAUAUGGUGAGUCUGUGCAGUACACCUGGACAGAGAUUUCUUGUCCUGGGUGCACUGUUUGUACUUCUGGAACAACAAAUAUUUCCCUUGGGCUAUGGAGAGAAUCACCUAUAAUUAGGAUGUUAGAAGGACCACCUUUUGGCCCACGUUUGCCUGUGGGAACACGAUAAACAUUGUAAUUUUUAAAGUCAAUGGACAGUGCAGUUACCAGUUGCCGGCGGGUUCCCCUUGGUAUCGCUCCGUGUAUUGGAUCCUCCUCAUGUGGUCUGGAAUCUCCUGGGAUGGUGCGUGACUGGGUCUGGAUGGCCUUUGAUUUGGUGUCUUUGCGUGGGGCCCCACCAUGCUCCGAUAGAAGUUUCCCGGAUGCUGCUGAUAGUACUGCUGAUUCUGGGACCUUUGGUAGAAAUUGCGAGGGUACCUGGGAGGUGACCUCUCUGGACAAUCCUUUAUAAAAUGUCCAAAAUCUCCGCAGUGGUAGCAGCGGACCUGAUCUUUAGAAGCUAUUACUGCAUAUGCACUAGAAACUCCUUCUGCAAUAUCCUUAGUAACUGCUUGUGCCACUGUAUCUUCAGUGGACAAGUGGCGUGUGCAGCUUUCCAGCAUUUGCUCUAUGGUAGGUUCUGUGUCUAAGGGUAAGGCUCUCAGAAUUGCUUUACAUUUUUCAUUCGCAUUACUCAUGGCAAGUUUACACAACAGUUCUUUUCUUGCCUCUGUGCUCUCUAUCUGUUUUUCCAGAGCAUCCUUAAUUCUAUCCACAAAUUUGAUAAAGCUUUCAUCUAUUCCUUGUUUGAUAGUAGAAAAAUAUUGGGUAGGGGUAGAAUCAUCUGGGGUAAGGAGUAAGGAGGUUUUUGCUGCUAUAGCCAUGUCUUGUAAUGUUGCCUUAGGUAAAGUAUCAGCUUGGUCAGAGGGUUUUUGCAAAUCCCCUUCACCAGCCAGCUGUUCGAGUGUAAAAUUUGACUUAUCAGCAUCUGCAGCGUAGUUAUCUGAUAAUGUUUUUAAUUGCUUUUUCCAAUGCCUUUCCCAAAGCAUGUACUCGGCGGGAGAAAGGAGGCACUGGGCAAUAUUUUUAAUAUCGUGGGGUACCAGAACAUGUGCUGAGAACGUAGCUUCUAGGAAAUUUCUAAAAAUAUGUGAACUUGUACCAUGUUCUGUGGCUGUAUUUCUUAACUGCACAAGGUCUUUAUUUGUAAUAGGUUCCCAUGUCUUUCUAGUAGUAGCACCUCCUCUUUUUCCCUUCUUAUAAUCUACUGGAAAGGCAGUAAUUCUCUGAGCUAAUUGCCAGUCCCCUGCCUGUGUGGCUUCCAUUUUUAUUUUUGCCCAAGGAUCUACAUAUUCUAUUUCCAAAUCAGAAUCACUGUCACUGCUGUCAUCAGAUGACGAGAAGUGAGAGCUAUCAGGUCGUGCCUUAUGUUUCUUAUGGCUGGCUGGAGCACCAUUUGGCAGAGGUGCAUGUGACUGGACCGGGUAUAAGGCAGCACAUGGCAGAACGUGGCUAGAGGGAGGCAGCAGGGCCGGGGUGGCCGUGCAAUGCGUGAUACAGCAGGCACAGGACUGGGGGCGUGGGGAGGGGGGGCAGAACUGAGGGAAGUCUGGGGGGUCCCGACCGGGGGCUGCGGAGCGUGGGUAUGGGGGCAGGGAGUGUGCGGGAUGGAGGAGGCGGCGGGACUGGAAGAGGGUGUGGUGGAUACAGGGUGGCUUGGGUCUGGGGUGAAUAUGCGAGCGGGCACGAUUCCGGCGGCAGGCAAAGGCGCGGUGGUGGGGGGGGGGCGCGGGUACGCAGGCGGGCUGGUCCGGUGCCGCAGCAGGGAUGAUGCCAGGGGCAGGGAAAGACGCGAUGGUAGCGGGGGGGGGGGCGAGGGGGGGGGAGGGAGUGGGGGCGGGCGCGGCAGGGACAGGAGGGACGGUAAAGGGUGUGGGGGCGGCCCAAGCAGGGUCGGGGGGAGCAGGGGGAGGGGUGGGGUUUGGGUCGGUCCCAGCGGGAACUGGCGCAGAUGCUCUUGGAGAUAACACAGAGCAAGGAGGCGCGCAGGGUGUGGCUCCCGAGGGGCAGGCGGGGGGGAGGAGGGGGUGGGCAGGGGCCGUGCGCGCAGCGGGGUCGGGGGGGUGCGGCGCAGACGGCAGGACGCUUGGAUCCAGAGGAGUGCUGGAAUCCAGGGUGGAGGGGGUGUUAUCUCCUCCAUUAGCAUUUGAAACAGGCGCUUCUGUUAAGUCAGAUAAGAACUUCCCCUUUCGUCCGACAGAAGUUAGCCCUGAAGUUACUAUCUUUUUGUUACUUUUUUCUACAGCUUUAGUGAUAGCGUGAAACAUAGGUAAAAACCGGGCUACAGAAAAGUCUUGGUUAGUUUGAAACUUAUAUAUCGUGGUCCCAAUUGUAUCCCAAAAGGAGUCUAAGGUAAUAGUCUGUGUAUUAGUAUCUGGGAAGUGGCAGAGAAUCCACUUUAUAAAUUUUUUCAGGUUAGUUUUUGAAAGGUUACCUUUAGAAAAAGAAAAGUUGUUAGAAGAUAGGAUUUCUAGGAUUAGGGAAUAUAAAUCUCGUUCUGGGAUCGCUUAAACGUACUAAGCUUUGAUCCCAUUUUUCAGUUCCUGCCAGCAGAAAAAAGAGAAAAAAAAAGAAAAAACCAAAAAAAAGGACCUGAGGAAAGUAUUUUGCGCGCAAGAAAGGCUGUGUUAAACUUACACUUUUUCAGCCUGUUGUGGGUCAAAGUUCUGCUGGGGGUCGUCUGCUCGUCAGCCUCCGCAGACACUCCCGUGCCCAGGUGUCGGGGUGCGGGUCGGCUGACCUCCUGUUCAGAAGAGUCCUUCUAAAAUGGAGAGCUUCUCCUUCCAGGAUUUCUGGCGAGCGGAGGCAGUGACAAUUUCACGAAGAAAUGCUGCUCCUCUGAAAUGCCAGGUCCGGCAUUCAGUUCCGCGGCCAGGAUAUCACGGCGGUUGAGAUGUCGGUCCAGGGGCCCCUCGCUGUUCGGGCGUCCGCUAUGUUCGGUGCGCCAGCUAUGGCCGGGCUAUUACCCUCAGGGCAGGAGCCCAGCGGGGAAUGCCGGCCGGCCAGGAUAGCUCAGCGGAGGGCCAGGAUAGCUCAGCGAGGGGGGCUCAGGCAACCCAGGCAAGCUAUAGUGAUUUGCAGCUCAGCUCUUUAGUGAUUUCAGCUCUUUUAGCUUGCCUGGUGCUGUCGCCCUAGGUAUCGCCGCAGCAGACGCAGAGAGAGAGGGAGCAGCGCUGUGUGGGUUCCGCAGGGUUCUUUUAUUGGGGUCUCCGCGAAGGGUCCAGUGACAGCUCUCCUCUGCCGAACCGGGCAGAGUUAGGGGUUUUUAUACCUUACAGGGGUAUUGAAAACUGUCCAAUAGUAAGGGUCAGGGGAAAAGUGACCUAUGGAUAUACAGGGAGAUAACAGUGUCCAAAAGGCGGAAGAGAGGGGCUUCUAAAACCUUACUCAUGAUGACUUUGGUAUUUCCUAGUUCAGGCUUCUGAUCUCCAGGGAGGCCGUGCAGGCCCUGUGCCUGCUACAUCCACACAAAAAAAAAAUUGUUGAAUUCAUUUAAUCCAUGACUGGCCUUCAUCCUUGGUAACAGUUUUUCAAGCAGGAAAGAUGGUGUGAGGUGU